rnacentral:rRNA from 1 species
CUACGGGAGGCUCCAGUGGGGAAUAUUGCACAAUGGGCGCAAGCCUGAUGCAGCAACGCCGCGUGAGUGAAGAAGGCCUUCGGGUCGUAAAACUCUGUCCUAAGGGAAGAAAAAUGACGGUACCUUAGGAGGAAGCCCCGGCUAACUACGUGCCAGCAGCCGCGGUAAUACGUAGGGGGCAAGCGUUAUCCGGAAUCACUGGGCGUAAAGGGUGCGUAGGCGGCCUGUCAAGUCAGAAGUGAAAGGCUAUGGCUCAACCAUAGUAAGCUUUUGAAACUGAUGGGCUUGAAUACAGGAGAGGUAAGUGGAAUUCCUAGUGUAGCGGUGAAAUGCGUAGAGAUUAGGAGGAACACCAGUGGCGAAGGCGACUUACUGGACUGUUAUUGACGCUGAGGCACGAAAGCGUGGGGAGCGAACAGGAUUAGAUACCCCCGUAGUC